rnacentral:lncRNA from 1 species
CAAAACAUAUAUCCAAUACAACCACAAUGAUAGCCACAACACAAUUACAUACAAUUCAAUAAUCCAACUGAAAUUCAAAAAAAUGACAUAGUUCAAUACACAUGAGAGUAUGGCUGAGUUCCAUAGUAUCCUGCAAAUAAUCAUGGGAAAAAAAUUCAAGUGAAAGAAGUAGAACCAAACAAUGAAAUACUCAUGCCAAAAAAUUAGCCAGCACACACACUAGCUCCGGCCAGCGUCGGUGGCAGCGUGGGGCGCAGGCGUUGGCGACGGCGGGGAUGGCGACGGCGAGGACGGGACGGCGGCAUCAGGCGACAGCGUCGGCGAGGACUGGACGGCGGGGA